rnacentral:lncRNA from 1 species
UGCUUAAGAAACCAGCUCUUCACAAGACUGGUCCAUAAACCUGGAAAGAUGUAAAAGCUGCUUGUUGGAAUCCUAUCAACGCCAAUAGUACUAAGGAGAAAAUAACUCAGAAACAAGAUGAGUUUUAUACACCAGUUUAAAGCCUUAUUUUGGAAAAACUGGAUAUAUCGCCUCAGACAACCGGUUCUAACACUUUCAGAAAUUCUCUGGCCUUGUUUUCUCUUCCUCAUUCUUGCAGCUGUGUGAUACCUUGAGUGUCCUGCAUAUCGUACCAACUGUAAGUCCUGGUAGAUAGAAAGGGACUUUGUAAAAGACCCUUAUG